GUAUAUUCUUUUUUAUUCUUUUGCUUUCUUUUAUCCAUUGCAAAUUGGUAAAAAAAUAUUUUCAUCAGGAAGUUCUGCUCGCCACCACAAAACUACUCUCAAACCACAAAACCUGCAUCUCCUACAUGUUUCAAGCCACAAAGUGAAAACAAAACCCAUUUCACCCUUCAGACCGACCAUCAAAAAACUCUUUAGUUGAAGACAGG